UCCUACGGGAGGCAGCAGUGAGGAAUAUUGGUCAAUGGACGAGAGUCUGAACCAGCCAAGUAGCGUGCAGGAAGACGGCCCUAUGGGUUGUAAACUGCUUUUAUAAGGGAAUAAAGUGUGUCUCGUGAGACUUUUUGCAUGUACCUUAUGAAUAAGGACCGGCUAAUUCCGUGC
rnacentral:rRNA from 1 species